rnacentral:rRNA from 1 species
GCACCACAAGAACGCGUGGAGCAUGUGGCUUAAUUUGACUCAACGCGGGAAAUCUUACCGGGUCCGGACACACUGAGGAUUGACAGGCAAUAUCUCAUGGUUAUUAACCGGUUAUUUAUUUAAUCGGUUAUUAAGCAUCGAGUGUUAAAUAUGCUAGUCCUUUCAUGAUUAUGUGAUAGGUGGUGCAUGGCCGUUCUUAGUUCGUGGAGUGAUCUGUCUGCUUAAUUGCGUUUCACUAAGGGCCCAUAAAUUCAAGGUAUGUUAGCUAUCGUCGCUCUAUGGACCCCUUAUACUCGAUUUCCUUU